AACGAACGCUGGCGGCAGGCUUAACACAUGCAAGUCGAGCGCCCCGCAAGGGGAGCGGCAGACGGGUGAGUAACGCGUGGGAAUCUACCCAUCUCUACGGAAUAACGCAUGGAAACGUGUGCUAAUACCGUAUACGUCCUUCGGGAGAAGGAUUUAUCGGAGAUGGAUGAGCCCGCGUUGGAUUAGCUAGUUGGGGGGGUAAAGGCCUAACAAGGCGACGAUCUAUAGCUGGUCUGAGAGGAUGAUCAGCCACACUGGGACUGAGACACGGCCCAGAAUUCUAGGGGAGGGAGCAGUGGGGAAUAUUGGACAGUGGGGGAAAGCCUGAUCCAGCCAUGCCGCGUGAGCGAUGAAGGCCCUAGGGAUGUAAAGCUCUUUCACCGGUGAAGAUAAUGACGGUAACCGGAGAAGAAGCCCCGGCUAACUUCGUGCCAGCCGCCGCGGUAAUAC
rnacentral:rRNA from 1 species